rnacentral:lncRNA from 1 species
AUUCUUUACUUUUUUUUUUUUUUUUUUUUUAAUCUUUCUUUGAUCCUCCAUUCUCCUCGUAUAAGUCUUAUCCUUAGAAGAGUCUAAUUAUGGAUACAUGAAUCUAUGGCGUAAAACCAUCAUUCUACACAAAAUUUAAUUACAUCCUAAGGUCAUUGUGUCUUAGAUUCCCUUAAAUACACACUAGUUCCAUAAGCAUAUUAUCGAUUCAAUCUAAUUGCUCAUUUUAUUAUAAUAGAUUCAUAUUUAAUUCAUGGCUUGUAAUUUCUCCUAUUAACCAUUAGUCAAUCUUAUCCAUAUUAAUCAAUUUUAAAUUCAAACUAUUGUCCAAUUAUUUACUCACCCCUUUUAAUCCUAUAUUGAAACAACCAAAAUCUUACCCUUCAUACUAGUUGUGCAAAGGAAGUUUUACCAGCUUUUUUUUUUUUUUUUUUUUUUCCAAUAAGCAAAUAAUAAAACCUUUUUCUCAAAUCAAUAUUCAAAUAAAAUCACUUUCAUAUUGUCUUUAAAACUUCGAAUUCUUUACCAAAUAAGUUCGAAUAAUUUUCGAAGCAGUGUCUCUUGUCGAAUCAUGGUGUACUGGGUGAUCAGGCCAUUACACCAAUUUCCAACUGAUCUUCUGCUUCAAAAUAGAUGGAGGGGGGUUUAGCAAAACUCAAUAUAUUUAUUUUAUAAACGUCAGUUACCCGGACCUUUUUAUGAUUUACUAUUAUUUAUGUACCUUUAGUUCUCAUCCUAAGAUUCAUACAGAUUUCCUUCCAUCCUCGUGCACGAUGCGUCCACCGGCACUAAAAUGGAAUUCAAUCCAGACUACAUCUCCUUUGUUGGUUACGGCCGAUCCCAACAUAGGAGCUCUAUAUUAAUUUCCUAUGUUCCGCAAUUGAUUCCUAAAGCCCAAUUUAUGCUCUGAUACCAACUUUGUCACGACCCAUUUCCAUGGACCGGACCGGCACUAGGACCUGGGUGGGCUUAAGGCCCCCGAAGCCCGUAGUAAGCCUAUAUUAUGCAAAUCUCAUUUACUAUUCAUAACUGUGGAUACAUGCCUAAUAAUUUAUUUCAAUUAUGUAUCACUAGUACAGUUCAUCUACAACCCACUAGAAUACAAUUGCGGAACUCUACCUGUACAUUUACAUCAUCAUUUAUUUAUCGUUUACAGUCUUCUAUACUUAUGUCUCAACUCCAUAGGAUUUUUCUUUCUUCUAUUAC